GACGAACGCUGGCGGCGCGCUUAACACAUGCAAGUCGAACGGAAAGGCCUGCUUUCCCUUGUGGAUUGCGGGUACUCGAGUGGCGAACGGGUGAGUAACACGUGAGUGAUCUGCCCCCAACUUGGGUAUAAGCCUGGGAAACUGGGUCUAAUUCCCGAUAGGACUGCAGGGUGGUUCCUGUGGUUGAAAACGAUUUUCUAGUGGUUGGGGAUGAGCUCGCGGCCUAUCAGCUUGUUGGUGGGGUAAUGGCCUACCAAGGCGGCGACGGGUAGCCGGCCUGGGAGGGUGGGCGGCCACAUUGGAACUGAGAUACGGCCCAGACUCCUACGGGAGGCAGCAGUGGGGAAUAUUGCACGAUGGGCGGAAGCCUGAUGCAGCGACGCCGCGUGGGGGAUGACGGCCUUCGGGUUGUAAACUCCUUUCGACCGCGAGGAAGCCACCUGGUUGGAAGGGUGGUGACGGUAGUGGUAGAAGAAGCACCGGCUAACUACGUG
rnacentral:rRNA from 1 species